rnacentral:lncRNA from 1 species
UGCUGGCUAAUAUCCCUAGGAAGUACCGACAGUGACUUAUACCUUCCAAUUUCCUGUACAAACAAUCAAGAACGAUAAGGAACUCUACGCACUCUUUUAGACAAGAUAUAAACAAAUUGUGAAGUAGAAAGUGAAGUAAAACCUUGCAUAUUUUGUGUAUACAUAGUUCCAUCAACGACGGGGAAUUGCAUCCUGUCUGGCAAUCAGUAAAAACAUGGCCACCAAAC